rnacentral:misc_RNA from 1 species
CAUUCAGUAGCCCAGCUACUUGUCUACACCCUUGUCUUUUUGCGUACUUAUCGUUUCCUCGGCGGGCUUGCCUGCCGGUUGGACAACUUUAUAACCUUUUUAAAUCUUCAAUCAGCGUCUGAAUAAUAUACAAUAAUUA